rnacentral:rRNA from 1 species
AUUGAACGCUGGCGGCAGGCCUAACACAUGCAAGUCGAGCGGAUGAAGGGAGCUUGCUCCUGGAUUCAGCGGCGGACGGGUGAGUAAUGCCUAGGAAUCUGCUUGGUAGUGGGGGAUAACGACUGGAAACGGGCGCUAAUACCGCAUACGUCCUGCGGGAGAAAGUGGGGGAUCUUCGGACCUCACGCUCUCUGAUGAGCCUAGGUCGGACUAGCUAGCUGGUGGGGUAAAGGCCUACCAAGGCGACGAUCCGUAACUGGUCUGAGAGGAUGAUCAGUCACACUGGAACGGAGACACGGUCCAGACUCCUACGGGAGGCAGCAGUGGGGAAUAUUGGGCAAUGGGCGGGAGCCUGAUCCAGCCAUGCCGCGUGUGUGAAGAAGGUCUUCGGAUUGUAAAGCACGUUAAGUUGGGAGGAAGGGCAGUAAGUUAAUACCUUGCUGUUUUGACGGUACCAGCAGAAUAAGCACCGGCUAACUUCGUG